UACGAAGGGGGCGAGCGUUGUUCGGAUUUACUGGGCGUAAAGGGCGCGCAGGCGGCUUAUUUUGUCAGGCGUGAAAGCCCCGGGCUUAACCUGGGAACUGCGUUUGAUACGGAUGGGCUAGAGUUCGGGAGAGGAGAGUGGAAUUCCCAGUGUAGAGGUGAAAUUCGUAGAUAUUGGGAAGAACACCGGUGGCGAAGGCGGCUAUCUGGACCGACAUUGACGCUGAGGCGCGAAAGCGUGGGGAGCAAACAGG
rnacentral:rRNA from 1 species